UUGGUUUGUUUGUUAUUGUACUGUCAGUCGGCGUGCGCUAGAGUCAUUUCAUUUAUUUAUUUACAAUUAAAUAUAGAAGCUAAUUAUUAUAAUUUAACUAAAAAAUAUGAAUUCGAAUAAUAAAAGUACAACGAAAAAUCAAAAUAAUUCACAGUAUUCAAGUUAUUAUCCAUGGAAUUUGUUUACACAACGAUCUCGUACAGAAAGUGAAAACAGUACCAGCUCUACGGCUUCACAGAGUUAUCAAUCGGGUACACAAUUCGAAUCCCUGCCAAGGCAAGCGAACAAAAGCAAUGAGGAGUAUUUAUGGAUGAUGUGGCGUUCCUAAUCGAACGCGCACUGCCAGCGAGCCUGCUCCACUCGGCGGCUGCACACGAUACAAAACAAUUAUUAGUUGUUACGUGCUAUAAUUAUGAAUUGUUUGGAAAUAUGAACCACUGUCCCAAAUAAAAAGUGAAACCAUGUUAGAGCAAGCGAUUUUACCUACUUGGUUUCUGAUGGCGUGGUUGGGCGCUUGUAUACUUUUUAGUCCUUUCGCAAUCUUCUUCGUGGUCUGUUUACCUCAGCUGCCACUUUUAGUCGUUAGAAGGGCCUGUCACAUACCGUUUGAAUAUAUUUGACGUUUGUAUUUGAAGGUGAUAGCGAAAGUGCGAUGUUAUCAAUAUAAAUAUUAGAUAAGACUGUAUAAAGUGUAAAUAUAUUUUAACAUUAAUAAAAAUAUGUAUUUCGA